rnacentral:rRNA from 1 species
CAGCCGCCACGGUAAUACGGAGGGUGCAAGCGUUAAUCGGAAUUACUGGGCGUAAAGCGUGCGUAGGUGAUGGUUUAAGUCCGUUGUGAAAGCCCUGGGCUCAACCUGGGAAUUGCAGUGGAUACUGGGUCACUAGAGUGUGGUAGAGGAUAGUGGAAUUUCCGGUGUAGCAGUGAAAUGCGUAGAGAUCGGAAGGAACAUCUGUGGCGAAGGCGACUAUCUGGGCCAACACUGACACUGGGGCACGAAAGCGUGGGGAGCAAACAGGAUUAGAUACCCCUGUAGUCCCUGUCUCUUAUAA